GAUGUGAGGGUGAUCUAGCUGUGACAUCGAUCACCAGGAUUGAUUUUGCUGCUUUGGUUGGCUGGUUAGGUGGGUUCACUUUCUGCCUCACCACUGCAUUCGCAGCUUCUCAAGCUGCAUAUUCCGUGGCAGAGGACCACCUUCCUUCCAUUAGAGAGGAGGACUAGUCUUCAUUCCGGUGUGUAGGAAUAGCUGCAUUUCCUUCCUAGAACCUCUAAACAGGCUCUAAAUAACUUGAUAAAAACUUGAGUGUCCCAUCAGGGAAAAUGUUACAAUAGGUAAUGAAUUUGUAUCC
rnacentral:snRNA from 1 species